AUUGAACGCUGGCGGCAGGCCUAACACAUGCAAGUCGAGCGGAUGCAGGGAGCUUGCUCCUGGAUUCAGCGGCGGACGGGUGAGUAAUGCCUAGGAAUCUGCCUGGUAGUGGGGGAUAACGUCCGGAAACGGGCGCUAAUACCGCAUACGUCCUGAGGGAGAAAGUGGGGGAUCUUCGGACCUCACGCUAUCAGAUGAGCCUAGGUCGGAUUAGCUAGUUGGUGGGGUAAAGGCCUACCAAGGCGACGAUCCGUAACUGGUCUGAGAGGAUGAUCAGUCACACUGGAACUGAGACACGGUCCAGACUCCUACGGGAGGCAGCAGUGGGGAAUAUUGGACAAUGGGCGAAAGCCUGAUCCAGCCAUGCCGCGUGUGUGAAGAAGGUCUUCGGAUUGUAAAGCACUUUAAGUUGGGAAGAAGGGCAGUAAGUUAAUACCUUGCUGUUUUGACGUUACCAACAGAAUAAGCACCGGCUAACUUCGUG
rnacentral:rRNA from 1 species